CAAAUUGGCUCCAAGCCAAAGGCCAGGCGGAACAACUCUGUCUUACAGGCCCUGCGGAAAGAAAUCAGAUCCUGCAGGGCCCUGGUCUCACGAGGCAGAGCGUUCCACCAGGCCGGAGCCUUUCAAGGUAAAUAAAUAACUUUAAUGUGAACUUGUUGAACAACUCCACUUCCAAAAGCAGAUUGGUAAGGAGGCCACCACAACAGGGGAAGGCAUGGACCCCCUCCAUCUGGAAGAUAAGUCACUGUUUAUUGUGACAUCUGAGCACCAGCAGCCAUUUCCAACAGCAGGAAAUGAUGGAUAAAGAAACAAAAACUACCCCAUGCUUCAGAUGGGCUCUGGGCUCUGAAGCCAGAGGUUUGUUGUGCCGAACACCUGAGCAUGAGACCUCCUUGUUUUGACUCCAGUGCUCCCUUCCCACCUUUGCUAAAGCGCUGCCCUGCGUCUUCUUCUGCCCAGGGCUGAAUCCUGUUUGUCUGUAUUAGCAAGCAAAGGCAAGGCUGACAAUAAAAAACAAAGCACGUACAUGGAUGCAGCAGGAAAGGAAGAAGAAGAAGAAAGAUGGGAAGUGAGACAAGAAUUUGAAAUAUUGAUCAAAGCCCAGUUUCAA